rnacentral:antisense_RNA from 1 species
CUUCACCGAACCCAGCCACAACGGCUCUUCCCGAUCCUGCCCAUAUGUGGCGAGCAGAGCUUGCGCCUC